rnacentral:rRNA from 1 species
GAUCCUGGCUCAGAUUGAACGCUGGCGGCAUGCCUUACACAUGCAAGUCGAACGGCAGCACGGACUUCGGUCUGGUGGCGAGUGGCGAACGGGUGAGUAAUGUAUCGGAACGUACCUUUCAGUGGGGGAUAACGUAGCGAAAGUUACGCUAAUACCGCAUAUUCUGUGAGCAGGAAAGCAGGGGAUCGCAAGACCUUGCGCUGAUUGAGCGGCCGAUAUCAGAUUAGCUAGUUGGUGGGGUAAAGGCCUACCAAGGCUACGAUCUGUAGCGGGUCUGAGAGGAUGAUCCGCCACACUGGAACCUGAGACACGGUCCAGACUCCUACGGGAGGCAGCAGUGGGGAAUUUUGGACAAUGGGGGCAACCCUGAUCCAGCCAUGCCGCGUGAGUGAAGAAGGCC